rnacentral:tRNA from 1 species
GCUGGGAGUUUAGUUCAGUGCUAGAGCACUUGCCUAGCAUGCAUAAAGCCCUGGGUUCAAUCUCCAGUGCAGCA